CCUACGGGGGGCAGCAGUAGGGAAUCUUCCACAAUGGGCGAAAGCCUGAUGGAGCAACGCCGCGUGGGUGAAGAAGGUCUUCGGAUCGUAAAACCCUGUUGUUAGAGAAGAAAGUGCGGGAGAGUAACUGUUCACGUUUCGACGGUAUCUAACCAGAAAGCCACGGCUAACUACGGGCCAGCAGCCGCGGUAAUACGUAGGUGGCAAGCGUUAUCCGGAUUUGUUGGGCGUAAAGGGAACGCAGGCGGUCUUUUAAGUCUGAUGUGAAAGCCUUCGGCUUAACCGGAGUAGUGCAUUGGAAACUGGGAGACUUGAGUGCAGAAGAGGAGAGUGGAACUCCAUGUGUAGCGGUGAAAUGCGUAGAUAUAUGGAAGAACACCAGUGGCGAAAGCGGCUCUCUGGUCUGUAACUGACGCUGAGGUUCGAAAGCGUGGGUAGCAAACAGGAUUAGAUACCCGAGUAGUC
rnacentral:rRNA from 1 species